AUUGAACGCUGGCGGCAGGCCUAACACAUGCAAGUCGGACGGUAGCACGGAGAGCUUGCUCUUGGGUGACGAGUGGCGGACGGGUGAGUAAUGUCUGGGGAUCUGCCCGAUAGAGGGGGAUAACCACUGGAAACGGUGGCUAAUACCGCAUAACGUCGCAAGACCAAAGAGGGGGACCUGCGGGCCUCUCACUAUCGGAUGAACCCAGAUGGGAUUAGCUAGUAGGCGGGGUAAUGGCCCACCUAGGCGACGAUCCCUAGCUGGUCUGAGAGGAUGACCAGCCACACUGGAACUGAGACACGGUCCAGACUCCUACGGGAGGCAGCAGUGGGGAAUAUUGCACAAUGGGCGCAAGCCUGAUGCAGCCAUGCCGCGUGUAUGAAGAAGGCCUUCGGGUUGUAAAGUACUUUCAGCGGGGAGGAAGGCGACGCGGUUAAUAACCGCGUCGAUUGACGUUACCCGCAGAAGAAGCACCGGCUAACUCCGUGCCAGCCGCCGCAGUAA
rnacentral:rRNA from 1 species